CUCUACGGCAACCGCCUCAAAUUUAUACCCUUCAGCUCGAGGCUCUAGAACUGAUUGGUCACAACACCACUUACACGUGCUACAGUUCGCUUUUCUGCAGAGAAAGGCGCUGGAAACAAUUUAUUUCAUGUGACAAAGAAGCUUGCUGGUGCAGCUUCUGAAACAGCUUCCUGGGUUACCAGUGUUGGUAUGUUGGCUUUCCAGGAUGGCGGCCAGAUUGAUGACGCCGAAUCUUUGGGAUGGACCCCCGGAGGCACCUCCCAUCUCAUAGAGGCAUAGCGGUCCCAGCUGGAGGGGAAGCACGGAUGCUCGGCCCGACUGUUGCCAAGGCGAUACAGAGGAUCUCCUGAGGAUCCCCUGGGAAUCUCCUGGGAAGAGUGGAGGCUCCACUGGUGCAAUGAUCCUGCCAGUCCUCACUACAGCUGUUGCUUUCCUUUUCCCCUAGCUGGGUCGUAACCUAAAGACUGCCCACAUACCAUCAUGGCUGCAGUGAACUGAAACCUGGCUCUGUGAGCAGUCUGCCAUGAAGUUAUCUACUGAAAUGAGCAUGCUCACCAGCCAGCCCCAACCUGUCCUGUGUUGUAAUACCACUUUGUGACACUAGACGCUGUGUGAGUCAGUGGAGCGUCAAGUCUGCUCUCAGUCCCACGAAGAAGAACAACUUCCUGCAGAGCUUGAAGUUAUCAUCACAGAAACACAGAAAUGGCUGAACCUCCUGAAAGGCGAUAUUCAUCUGCAUCCCGAAAGACCGCUGCCGACAAGAAACCUCGUUCAACGGCGAAGAAAAGAAGCAACACGAGUAACUCUCGAUGUGGUUUUCCACCGCUGGAGACAGCUCCUGAGAGUAAAGAGAUGCGGUUUGAUGCCGAGCUCGCAACUUUCCUGUUAGCCUGGACCUGAGCCAGUACAGAUGCAGUGUCGCCUCCACCUGUCUCACCAACGGUAGAGUACAGACACAGCGACGAGGGACUAGGUGACAAAGACGCUCACUGGUGCUGCUUCUGAAACAGCUGCCUGGGUUACCAAUGUUGGUAUGUUGGCUUUCCAAGAUGGUGGCUGGAUUGACGACACCGCAUCUUCGAGGUGGACCCCCGGAGGUGACUAUUGUCACAUUGAGGCAUAGCGAUCCCAGCUGAAGGGUAAGCACAGGAUGCUCAGCCUGACUGUUGCCAAGGUGAUCCUGAGGAGUGGAGGCUCCACUGUUGGAGGAGGACACAUGGGGCGGAGGAGACGGCCCUCCUCAUCCAGGAUCUCCACUUCACCCUGGACGUCCCGUUGCUGGAUUCUCUCUGCAUCCAGGACAUAUGGAGUACACAGAGGCUCCACCUCAGCUCCACUCAGGACCCACCAGGUGUGCAGCAGAGACUGGUAGUCUGACAGAGGGUGGGCUCAGCCUUCUGGUUCCCACCUUAACCAGUUUAUCCCAGGUACAUGCGUGUGUCUCAUAGCUUGUGAUUAAGUAUAUUGUGUAUUAUCAUUUAAUGCAAACAAAAAAGGAGUGAAGUGCACACAACAAAGCAGCAGGCACAUUAAAAAUUUCUCCAGGAAUUUUCUAGUGUAAUAUAUAUUUCAACUAGUGCUCCCUAAAAUACAAAUUGUGUAUUGUUCAAUUUACUUUCAUAUCAAAAUUACCAUUUUUAAUUAGAAAUAUAAGGGAAUGGUGCAAAAAUGCUUUCCAGCUGUACGACAUGAUUGUUUCACAUGUUUUUCUGUAAUCACAAUCAAAACAUUAAUACAUCAAAGUUGCUUGGAAAACACUGCACUUUUAAGAUACCUAAUAUUUUAACUCAUAAAUACCUUCUUAAUAAUUUACACUUUUUGACCACAAGAUGGAGCCAUGGGCAAAAAUGUAAUUUAUACUGUUUAACUAAAGAGAUUCGAUGGCAGAAGCUUGAGGGAAGUUGUGGUUUGUGUUUUUGAUAACCAGAAGUGAUGGACUGAACUAUCUGGAGAUUUAUAUGGGCAGGAAAAAGAAGUCAUUGUGAUGUGACAUGUUAUUGAACUCCUGAAACCAAACCCAAGAAGUUGCGUAGCAGCUGUACAUCUUUGAAUGCUUAAAGGAAAAUGAAUGAAUUUAAUAGCAGACAAAAGAUUUUCAAAGAAAAUGUGUAUAACCUAUAAUUUAUGGUUAACAGGUUUAUGGUUGACAGUAUCACAAUCUACAAAUCAUUCAAUGUUUCAGCAAGAACCCCUGAAAAUCCCACAGUUCACUGCCAACUAUACGAGUCAUACUGUAAGAAAGCAGUAAAAUAAUUAUGCAAAUCUGGAGUUGGAGAGCAGAAAUUAUAAAUUCGAGGAGAUGAGGCACAAGUACAACAUGGCAGUGUACAAAGUAGGCGGUAUACAAAAGGCAAAUUCCAGGGAGGUUUAGAAAGGGAAAGGAACGGGCGGUUAGUCAGGUUGUCAGAUGUCCUAAAUGAGUUUUGAAUCAGACCAUAAAUACUGACACAGUGUCUGUUCCCCUGACAAUGGCAGGAAGCUUGUUCAGAAGGGAGGAGGUCAUAGAGGAAAAGGUUCUGCCCCCUGAUGUUUCAAAUGUGAGGAGUAACAAGGAAUAUUUGUUUUUGAAUGAGUAAAUAUAAACUCCUGAAAACAAGGGCACUAGCAAAGUUGACAUAUACUACUUCUUCUAUUUAGUGGUGGAAUGUAACUAAGCACAUUUACACCGGUGCUAUACUUACAAUUUGAGUGUGCCGAUUAUAUGUUACCAUAUGCAUCCACUUUACUACAUUUUCAGAGGUACAUUUUGUACUUUUUACUCCAUUACGUUCAACAGCUCUCGUUACUUGUUACUUUUCAGAUUAAGAUUUUACAUAUAAAAUCUAUAAUGAUCUUAUGAAAUUACAUUAAAAAGUCCAACAGUAAAUAAAGUAGGUAGAAAUACUUCCACCUUGAACAGCUACGUAGCACAUCAGUCAUAUUUAGUCUGUUAAUUAAAUAUAUGAAAACACAAAAAUUAGCAACUAGGACCAGUUACUUCCAUACUGGUAGGUACAUGUUUCUGCUAAUACGUUUUUACAUUUACUGUUGAAUACAGAACAUUUCUACAUUGUGAUAAUACUACUUGAUGUGACAUAUCUGAACACUGAACAGCUGCUGCUCCUACUACUAAUAAUAAUGUGUACACUUUAAUCGUCUGAAUUCUAUAAUGAAGAAGAUGGAAUAAGAAAUGUGCAAAGUAGGUUUAUCUGUCUGAGGAUAACCUUGAUCUAAAUCAUCCAUAAGAGGGCAACAGAAACCACAUAUUUGUGUUUAGCAAAUGAUUGCAUUGCACUGGGCGUGGGUUGUUUGGGAUGGAUAUCUUCCAAUUUUACUCUUCAGUUUACUGGAAGCAUAAUGUGCUGAAUUGUGAAUUCACUACUACUCUCACUGUACAGUGCACAUGAAGGCACUUGAAAGCCUAAAUUUGUGUGUACAUACAUUGAAAGCAGGUAGGAUAAGCGCUGACGGACAGGUCUGACUAUUAAAAAUGUACUUUCAAAAUUUACUAUUUUUAUUGAAAGCUGCAAUAAACAGGGGCAACAUACUUGAUGCACACAGGAAUCUGUUAUUAACCACCUACUAGGUUUAUGCGUAAUGUGCCCCAUAUGUUGUUAGUAACAGAUGGGGAGUCUGAUAACUAAGGUUGUUUGGAGUGGUCCAGUGGCAUGUGGUUUGGUUUUUUAAAUUAAGUAAAAGGAAAGCCCACAUUUAGAUAGGAUUCAGAUGUGUUUCUGCAAUGAUUUAGGGCGUAAAACUCAGUAUUACAAAAAAAAGAACACUGUACAACAAUGAAAAUCAUCUUGUCUUUCCUGCUACUGGUAGGUAUUUUGAAGUCAAAGUGAGAACAUGUGAGAAACUGUCCUAGGUCCAUUUACAGUCAUGGCUGUGGUACCAAGAGCCAGCUGGAAUAAAGUUUUAACAUUGGGCUUGCCUUUUUUUGUGGCCUUCAUGCGAUUGUGAAAGUAUGAGGCAGCGGAUCCCUCGUUGUUCCGUCCAUCUGAUAACUCCCUGCAACUCAAGUCAGCAGCAGUCCAAAAACAAUCCCUGCCCAAAUCAAAUAUUUAGAGUGUCCCAAAGACAUUACUCGAAAAGAGACAAAGCAAAGGGGGAAUCCCACUGCGAUGAGAAGUUCUUCUUUUCAAGACCACUGCAACCUGACUCAAAGUCAAAUAAACAUGUAAAGCAGUUACAACAUAUAUAGCAGGCAUCAAGCGUUCUGGAUCUUUUAGUAUUUAAUUAAUUCCAUUGGCUGUACAAUGUCUCCUCAUGUUUACUAGCAGUCAUGAUGACAGUCUAUCUGAUCUACUGUGAAAGCCAUAAAUUUUAACAAGUCUGUGAAACAGCACAAUACUAUUGAAUCUAGUGACAACAUUUUUGUACUGGUAUUAACUAUAUUAGCAAGUGUAACAAAGCAUAUUAGUCAGUUGUUACCACAAGACGUAAGCUUGGCUGAUUUAUCAUUUAAAGAUUGUAUGGCUGCAUGUGUUUUCUUAUGGAACGGGCCGUGCUUCCUUUCUGUUUUUGCUUACCAAGAGUUCAGUCAAAUGGAACUACAGCAUAAAUGGCUAUAUGGUCACUUUGCAGUUUAUAAGUUGGCAUUUCUUACUAUUUUCUCUCAUGCAUUGUUUAUUGAAGUUAAUAGGUUAGUGCAUGGUAUAUAGAUGAUACAUUGAUUCAUUUAUCUAUGAAAGUUUCAUACCACUAAAAGAGAAGAGUACACAAAAAACAAAUAAAGAAUAUAUACUUACUCAAUGCUUGACCUCUAUGUAAAUGCAGUGACACAUAACCUUUACAUAAAACAACAGAGAUGAACACAUUCUUGCAAAAAUGACACUUAUAUAAGACAAAUUUGUCUAAAUGCAGCAUCUUUAUUGUCUCUGAAACAAUCUAAUACUGAGAUCAUUUAUACAGUAACACUUGGUGGCGUUUGCACUGACAGUAGCAUGCUAUCUCUGACAGAGCAUGGUUGGAUUUGACAACUAGUGCAAUCAACUGGGUCAAUACAAACCCAAGGACUCGAGUUAUAAUGCAAUGUGAUGAUGCUUCAGAUUGCAGGUAUUUUUGAUGCACUGUUACGCUUUCUAUUCCCCUUCAUCUCAGCUGUAUUCACAACCCUAACACAGUGUAAAUAAACAAAGUGGAACUCUUUAUUGGAGACAUGCAUAUGUAUGAGAUGUAAAAUAAUUUGAUCCCUUUGAGCGUUUCCUUGUCAACUCUCAAAAGCAGCACAUCAGUGUGUUUUUGUGUGUUUUCCACAACAAAAGUUUCCUUCCCUCUUUUCACAGGUGCCAUCUCAUUAGUGGUAAAUCACGAUGUUGACAUUUAUGUUGUACCCAGUCACACAGCAUCUCCUUUGCACUGGAAGUCUGAUAUCACAGCAAAGCAAUGCAGUGUUUGUUCAGGACGGUAUGAGAAAUUUCACACACAGAAAUCAUUCUGCGUGCAGUUUAGUGCUUGUGAUUUGGGGGCUGUGGGGUGCUGAAAUGAAAGGAUGUGACAAAAAUGUCUUCUGAGAGCUGUAAAAAAUAUUUUACAUCCUAAUGUUGGAAGCCAACUAAAAUUUAAAUGUGGGAAUGGCUGAGAAGCCAAAUAUAUAAUUGAUGUGUAUCGUGAUUACAUAUCUAACAUCUGGUCUUGUGAGAUUAUGAUGACAAUAAAGAGCUUAAAAUGAAAAACAA